rnacentral:tRNA from 1 species
GCGGCGGGCGAACUGGACCUGCUGGUGGCGGCGACGCCGGUGUCAGGCCCGGAGGCUUGGUACACG